CAUGCAAGUCGAGCGGUAGCACAGAGAGCUUGCUCUCGGGUGACGAGCGGCGGACGGGUGAGUAAUGUCUGGGAAACUGCCUGAUGGAGGGGGAUAACUACUGGAAACGGUAGCUAAUACCGCAUAACGUCGCAAGACCAAAGUGGGGGACCUUCGGGCCUCAUGCCAUCAGAUGUGCCCAGAUGGGAUUAGCUGGUAGGUGGGGUAACGGCUCACCUAGGCGACGAUCCCUAGCUGGUCUGAGAGGAUGACCAGCCACACUGGAACUGAGACACGGUCCAGACUCCUACGGGAGGCAGCAGUGGGGAAUAUUGCACAAUGGGCGCAAGCCUGAUGCAGCCAUGCCGCGUGUGUGAAGAAGGCCUUCGGGUUGUAAAGCACUUUCAGCGGGGAGGAAGGCGGUGAGGUUAAUAACCUNAUCGAUUGACGUUACCCGCAGAAGAAGCACCGGCUAACUCCGUGCCAGCAGCCGCGGUAAUACGGAGGGUGCAAGCGUUAAUCGGAAUUACUGGGCGUAAAGCGCACGCAGGCGGUCUGUCAAGUCGGAUGUGAAAUCCCCGGGCUCAACCUGGGAACUGCAUUCGAAACUGGCAGGCUAGAGUCUUGUAGAGGGGGGUAGAAUUCCAGGUGUAGCGGUGAAAUGCGUAGAGAUCUGGAGGAAUACCGGUGGCGAAGGCGGCCCCCUGGACAAAGACUGACGCUCAGGUGCGAAAGCGUGGGGAGCAAACAGGAUUAGAUACCCUGGUAGUCCACGCUGUAAACGAUGUCGAUUUGGAGGUUGUGCCCUUGAGGCGUGGCUUCCGGAGCUAACGCGUUAAAUCGACCGCCUGGGGAGUACGGCCGCAAGGUUAAAACUCAAAUGAAUUUACGGGGGCCCGCACAAGCGGUGGAGCAUGUGGUUUAAUUCGAUGCAACGCGAAGAACCUUACCUGGUCUUGACAUCCACAGAACUUNCCAGAGAUGGAUUGGUGCCUUCGGGAACUGUGAGACAGGUGCUGCAUGGCUGUCGUCAGCUCGUGUUGUGAAAUGUUGGGUUAAGUCCCGCAACGAGCGCAACCCUUAUCCUUUGUUGCCAGCGGUNNGGCCGGGAACUCAAAGGAGACUGCCAGUGAUAAACUGGAGGAAGGUGGGGAUGACGUCAAGUCAUCAUGGCCCUUACGACCAGGGCUACACACGUGCUACAAUGGCAUAUACAAAGAGAAGCGACCUCGCGAGAGCAAGCGGACCUCAUAAAGUAUGUCGUAGUCCGGAUUGGAGUCUGCAACUCGACUCCAUGAAGUCGGAAUCGCUAGUAAUCGUAGAUCAGAAUGCUACGGUGAAUACGUUCCCGGGCCUUGUACACACCGCCCGUCACACCAUGGGAGUGGGUUGCAAAAGAAGUAGGUAGCUUAACCUUCGGGAGGGCGCUUACCACUUUGUGAUUCAUGACUGGGGUGAAGUCGUAACAAGGUAACCGU
rnacentral:rRNA from 1 species